UUGGAAUGAUAAAUAUACAUUAUUGUAUAUCAGGAAAGCUAAAGCAAUAGCCAACUUGUAAGCAAUUGCAAAUUGCAGAUAACAAAUGUACUGGGAGAUUGGAAUGUUAUAUGAACUUAUUUAUUUAUUGGUUUUCAACCUUUUGGUAACAUCGUAUGUCCAGUGAAAUGCAGUUUUUUUUAAUGAAAACUCUUGUAAAUGCUGUUUAUCGUUGAACUUCAAAAUUUA
rnacentral:lncRNA from 1 species